CUUAGAUCUCACUUAAGGGCUGACUGCCACUAAAGAACAGAUCUUCUAGAGGUUCUUCCUUGGUGGAGCUUUCCUCUGUAAACUUGGAAUCUUCUGAUACAGCAGGAAUUCUGGAGCAGCCAUCUGCACUGCUGAUUUCUGCCAGGACAUCCGGCUUCACAUUUUCGUGUCCUACAACAAUUUGUGCCCUCAGCAACCUGCACUGUGGCCACCGGGGUUCCCUCAUUGCCGGCUGUGAAAUCUGAAAGCAUGCAUUGCUUCAUUUUGCCCCGUUUCUUCAGGGAAAGUUGAGGCUCCCAAGCAGAAUCAGACAGAACUCUGAACUGUCUCUGCUGUUCUGGCAGUGGUGAAGAGUGAUGCAGUUUGGGUCACCAAGUCCUCCAUCCGUGGGCAAGCUGUGACCUCAGAAACCUGCUUCUUCAUCUGAUGGCUGUGAGGAAAAUGCUGCUUCUGGGAAGAGCUGCUUUGGGAAUGACCGGGCCGGGGAGCUGGAUGUGUGUGCAUUGCACCAGGCUGGAGUAAGGAAAUGCUUUUUAGACCAAGCAGUUCAGGUGACAUGCAAGCAGCACAGCGAGCAGCGAUGCCUAAAGCAAAACAAACCAAAGAGAAAAUCUGGGAAGGCUCAGCAACACAGUUUUCUCCUGGCAAACUCUACUCCAGGAUUUGCAGGGGAGACCUCAAAGGAUGUAUUUAAAACAAACAAACAAACAAACAAACAAAAAAACAAACACUGAAAGAUGCCUCCAGAGAGCCUCUUGGCCUGAGCAGAUACGAAGAUACGAUGCUGCUGGGGUGUGAACGCAGGAAUGUUGUGCUGGGAGAGUGGGCCAUGCAGCUGUUUGCUUCGCUGCGGAUGGAUGAGUUCACAGGAUCCCAACUCACUUCUAAGUUUAUCAGGGAAAUGCCUGCAAACUUGCCAGACCCCUGUUCCUCCUCCUCAUUCAACCUUCUUUCACAGUAAUUGGAGGUUAUUGAGCUUCCUGAUUCCUCUGUCAUUUUGAUGUCCUCUAAAAGGUGUCAUGCAUACGCACUUCUUGUGCUGAAGAAUCCAUGACUGUUGACCUAUAAUCUUUGCAACUUAAUGGAUGAAGCAGGAGGAGCUGAGCUGUGCUGUUCAGCUCCAGGAUGGGCUGAAGCAGAGCAGUGUUGGUGUGCUCACACCUGAGCCAGGCACUGAGCUCAUUGCUCUCCUGUAGUGCCUUCUGUUACACAAAUGCAUUCACCCAACGCUUGAGAGAUCAGAGUACUUUCACUCACACCCAUGUGUGGAUGUACUGAUGGGAGGGCAGUUGAGUUCACCUCAUGUUUCCAGAUGUGAAAGAAGUUUGGGUACACUGAAAAACGUUGGUCUCUUCUGUUGCCCAUUUGAUUUGAUGCCAAAAGUAAAAUAAAGAAUAGAAAACACCUCUGGAGACUUGAAGAAGAAGAAGAAAUGAAAAAGUGGUUGGUUCAUGGAAGGCAACUUAGAAAAGAUGUUUUGGGAAGGGUGAUGAGCAGUGCAUGGAGAAGGAGAGCUGAUCAGGAGCAGGAACAAGAUCCAGAAGGCAUAGCAUCCAUGAGAGACAUGCAGAGAAAUGAUUGCUUAGCCUCUAAAUAAGUGGAAGGACACUGAGGUCAUGACUGGUCCUGCAGCAAAAAGCCCUGGCUCUGCUCGGAGCUGCCAAGGGGGGCAGAGUCCCUGCCCUUCCUCUGCUGCUCAGGUGAAGAACCUGGAGGAGCAGACCCAGCUCAGCACGGAGCUCAUGGUGUGGUGCUGGCAGCUGCAUGGUGUGGCUGUGAUCCCUGCAGCCUCAGAAAGGAGAAAAAAUGCCCUGGCAACAGGCACGUGCUCUGAACCAUGCCGUGCCUCUGUAAUGGCACGUCUUCGCUCUUUGCUCCCAUCUGAAUACCAGGAAAGGCCUUGGAAAGAAUUAUUUUGGUUUAGAUCUCAUUAGUAUGGUUACACAACUAAAAGUACGUGAUGGCAAAAUAUUUUAUGGUGUGAGGGAGGCAGACUGGCACCAGAAAGCAGAGAGCCUCGUCUGCAGCAGGUGUGCCCAACAGCUGGAUGCUCCACACAGAGCACUGCUGGCCACCUCUCAGCGAGGGCUGCGUGUGUCCUGGGGGCAUCCAGCACUUACUGCUCCAUUAAUGUGGUCUGACCCAUGAUAUAUCCAGGGGUUUUUCUUUUUUCUUUCUGUUUCUCAGACAAAGCAGCCUACCCCUCUUGCAGAUUUUGCUUGAAUUGAAGCCUAUUUCUCCUUAGCAUGUGUUUCAUUUCUGUUUGCUGCUGGGACAUGUAAAGCAGCGAAUCUGCACGGGGUUAAUGCCUCAGCACACUAAGAAAAGCAGAGGCUGGCAAGGAGGAGUGGGAGAAAGUAGAUCAAGAGAGAGUGCUUUGUUCCAGUUCAAGGCUUAAAGUAUGAGGCGCUGUUAUUGGAGGCUGAAAUAAUUCUGUUAAAGGGAUGGGAUCUCAUUUUGCUUCAGUUCAAGAUUUAAUAAUUCCUUGGCCAAGCUAAUAACGUGGGGAAGGCCCUCCCCACAAAUAUUGCAGGCACUUCUCUGCAGCCUCAUGCACUUUUCAGAUGGCUGUGAGAGCAAAUCCAUGCUGCAAAGUGAAAACUUUCCUGAAACACUGAGGAUAUCUGCACUGCAAAUCACUGAAAUCUGAACCUCAUUACCACGGACAUCAUUAACAACCAGUCACUUACACCCUUUGCACAUAAGAUAUAUUGAAUAUCAUCAGUUGAAAUAUUAAGUAAUUCUGUCCUCCUCUGAGGAGCAGAGCAGCUGUGGAUCUGCACUGGGAGUUAAAUCUUGCUUCUCCUCUGCCUGCAGUCUGUAUUGUACGUCUCCAGUUCGAUCUCCUUUAGCACCAUGUUCUCUUUCUUCAUGGAGACAUGCCAGAAGACUUGAUGGGGAGAAGCCCUUGGUUUCUAAGAAAGGUGUGGAGAGAAUUCAGGGACUCUCCAGGACAGCAGGAGCUGUAAUGGGAGGAGUGGGUGUGCAGUGUGCCCAGUGCUGGGCUGAGGGGCUGCAGCUGAGGGGGGCACAGGAAUUGAAUGGGCAGCGCUCAGCCCCUGAGUGGGGAAGAAAUGUGGCACAGAGAGGAUGAGGGCUCUUCUGUCUGUAGUUCAGCAUUCACCAGGGCUGUCUCAAGAGUUGUGCUCUUGUUUGCUUCUCUUUGCUGCGGAUGGGAGCAGCUCAGGCUUGGCAGGGCAGGGGACUUGUCAUCUCCUCCUUUUCAUACACUUCAGCGCUUUGCAGUCUUGGCAGAGCGACAUGCUGAAGGGGUUCUGCUCUUCGGUUUCCAAUUCUUAUAUUCCCAAUGGUGAUUAAACAAGAAAAUCUCCUACAAGCCUUUUCUUGUUGGAUUCUUCAGACCUAUUUCGAGAUCAAAUAGGCUUUGAGCAGGUCUGGAUAAGCUCAGGCACUUUAAUCUGCUUGAAAGGAGGGACGGGGCGACGUGCUCGGCACGGUGAUGGAUCGCUGUGUGUUGAGUAGCACUCCUGUCCCCACACGGAGCUGCUGCACGGCCCUGGGCACCAGCAUUCUGCAGCACUGUGCAACCUGCAUGGCACAGCUGAACCCGAGGGCAGUGCAGGGAUGGAUGCAGACACCUCGAGUUGUCUGCUGCUAAUACUUGAGCAGGAUCAUCAUUAUUGAGGCUAAUUAGAAUUCAGUGAGAACGGGUCGUUCAUUAGAGAGAGGAAAGAAUGUUCCACGGAGCCCCGGAUUUGGUAGAACUAUUUCACAUAAUUAAACAAUUCCACAUCUCGGCAUUUUAUCCCUCUUGUUAUUGUUGAACUUUGUUAAUAAGUUUUUAAUUGCAAAUUAUCUCUAUGACACAAAUUACAGUGUUUACUGAUCAGCAAAAAUACCACGAUAACUUUAUUGGGUGCCAAGUCCUUCAGACACACCAGCUGCCAAGUUCUCUCUCUUACACAGUUUGGCAUUAAACUAUCUUCCGGCUAACUGAAAUACGGCAACUUCCGGUUGGAAGUUCUAUGGGCAGCACUGAUUUCUGGCUAAAGCUCCAGUAGGGAAAGAAGGGCUUUCAUGAGGGCUUCAGCUGCACAGCACAAGUUUGCCCAUGCUUCUCUGCCAGUCUGGUUUGUGUUCUGCAUUGUGAAGGAAACGUGUGAGCAUCCAUUUUCAUUCAGGUCUGUCGUUUCUGCUGAAGUGACUAAGAAUUAUUGAAAUCAGCUGAUAUUGUGGUCGGGAGAAUAGGCUAAAGUUUUCCGAAAGUCUCAGUGAGUCUUGUCUCUGUUUCUGAGGGGGUUUAUCUUUUAGAUUGUUUUUUUGUUUGUUUGUUUUUUGGUUUUUUUUUUGUUUUACAUCUGCAAAAGAAAACUAUUUUAAAGUC